GAAGCCAGGAAUCAGAAGCAUGGAGGGAGAGCAUUGCAGGUGUGGGGGACAGUCGGUGAAAAUGCACAGUCAGGAAAUGGAGGGUCUCAAACGAGGAACCAUCAGCUGGCCGGGAAGAAGAAAAGAUGCCUUGUAAGAGGUGAUGCUGUCAGAAAUUGAAAAAAA